UGCAUUGAAUAUGAAUUUAUUAUGACGAUUAAUCCUGAACACAUGGACAAAAUUAGAACCAAUACAUUCGUAGUAAUGUGUAUAAUAUCUAACAGCUGUGUGUGUGUGUGUGUGUGUGUGUGUGUGUGGUCGGUCUAGUGCAA
rnacentral:sRNA from 14 species